rnacentral:rRNA from 1 species
AGGGAAAGGCGAAAAGAACCCCGGCGAGGGGAGUGAAAAAGAACCUGAAACCGUGUACGUACAAGCAGUGGGAGCACGCUUAGGCGUGUGACUGCGUACCUUUUGUAUAAUGGGUCAGCGACUUAUAUUCUGUAGCAAGGUUAACCGAAUAGGGGAGCCGAAGGGAAACCGAGUCUUAACUGGGCGUUAAGUUGCAGGGUAUAGACCCGAAACCCGGUGAUCUAGCCAUGGGCAGGUUGAAGGUUGGGUAACACUAACUGGAGGACCGAACCGACUAAUGUUGAAAAAUUAGCGGAUGACUUGUGGCUGGGGGUGAAAGGCCAAUCAAACCGGGAGAUAGCUGGUUCUCCCCGAAAGCUAUUUAGGUAGCGCCUCGUGAAUUCAUCUCCGGGGGUAGAGCACUGUUUCGGCAAGGGGGUCAUCCCGACUUACCAACCCGAUGCAAACUGCGAAUACCGGAGAAUGUUAUCACGGGAGACACACGGCGGGUGCUAACGUCCGUCGUGAAGAGGGAAACAACCCAGACCGCCAGCUAAGGUCCCAAAGUCAUGGUUAAGUGGGAAACGAUGUGGGAAGGCCCAGACAGCCAGGAUGUUGGCUUAGAAGCAGCCAUCAUUUAAAGAAAGCGUAAUAGCUCACUGGUCGAGUCGGCCUGCGCGGAAGAUGUAACGGGGCUAAACCAUGCACCGAAGCUGCGGCAGCGACGCUUAUGCGUUGUUGGGUAGGGGAGCGUUCUGUAAGCCUGUGAAGGUGUGCUGUGAGGCAUGCUGGAGGUAUCAGAAGUGCGAAUGCUGACAUAAGUAACGAUAAAGCGGGUGAAAAGCCCGCUCGCCGGAAGACCAAGGGUUCCUGUCCAACGUUAAUCGGGGCAGGGUGAGUCGACCCCUAAGGCGAGGCCGAAAGGCGUAGUCGAUGGGAAACAGGUUAAUAUUCCUGUACUUGGUGUUACUGCGAAGGGGGGACGGAGAAGGCUAUGUUGGCCGGGCGACGGUUGUCCCGGUUUAAGCGUGUAGGCUGGUUUUCCAGGCAAAUCCGGAAAAUCAAGGCUGAGGCGUGAUGACGAGGCACUACGGUGCUGAAGCAACAAAUGCCCUGCUUCCAGGAAAAGCCUCUAAGCAUCAGGUAACAUCAAAUCGUACCCCAAACCGACACAGGUGGUCAGGUAGAGAAUACCAAGGCGCUUGAGAGAACUCGGGUGAAGGAACUAGGCAAAAUGGUGCCGUAACUUCGGGAGAAGGCACGCUGAUAUGUAGGUGAAGUCCCUCGCGGAUGGAGCUGAAAUCAGUCGAAGAUACCAGCUGGCUGCAACUGUUUAUUAAAAACACAGCACUGUGCAAACACGAAAGUGGACGUAUACGGUGUGACGCCUGCCCGGUGCCGGAAGGUUAAUUGAUGGGGUCAGCGCAAGCGAAGCUCUUGAUCGAAGCCCCGGUAAACGGCGGCCGUAACUAUAACGGUCCUAAGGUAGCGAAAUUCCUUGUCGGGUAAGUUCCGACCUGCACGAAUGGCGUAAUGAUGGCCAGGCUGUCUCCACCCGAGACUCAGUGAAAUUGAACUCGCUGUGAAGAUGCAGUGUACCCGCGGCAAGACGGAAAGACCCCGUGAACCUUUACUAUAGCUUGACACUGAACAUUGAGCCUUGAUGUGUAGGAUAGGUGGGAGGCUUAGAAGUGUGGACGCCAGUCUGCAUGGAGCCGACCUUGAAAUACCACCCUUUAAUGUUUGAUGUUCUAACGUUGACCCGUAAUCCGGGUUGCGGACAGUGUCUGGUGGGUAGUUUGACUGGGGCGGUCUCCUCCUAAAGAGUAACGGAGGAGCACGAAGGUUGGCUAAUCCUGGUCGGACAUCAGGAGGUUAGUGCAAUGGCAUAAGCCAGCUUGACUGCGAGCGUGACGGCGCGAGCAGGUGCGAAAGCAGGUCAUAGUGAUCCGGUGGUUCUGAAUGGAAGGGCCAUCGCUCAACGGAUAAAAGGUACUCCGGGGAUAACAGGCUGAUACCGCCCAAGAGUUCAUAUCGACGGCGGUGUUUGGCACCUCGAUGUCGGCUCAUCACAUCCUGGGGCUGAAGUAGGUCCCAAGGGUAUGGCUGUUCGCCAUUUAAAGUGGUACGCGAGCUGGGUUUAGAACGUCGUGAGACAGUUCGGUCCCUAUCUGCCGUGGGCGCUGGAGAACUGAGGGGGGCUGCUCCUAGUACGAGAGGACCGGAGUGGACGCAUCACUGGUGUUCGGGUUGUCAUGCCAAUGGCACUGCCCGGUAGCUAAAUGCGGAAGAGAUAAGUGCUGAAAGCAUCUAAGCACGAAACUUGCC